UCGCUCCAGGAGGUUCCUGUGUCUUGCACCUAGAACAGGGCCUGGGACGCCCCGGGACCCUUCCUUGCGAGACCUCAGGGCCUUUACGCGGCCACUCCUUCGAUCUCAAACGCUCCUCCCCACUUCCUGGGCUCACUCCCUCCAGGGGGCGUAUCUUUCCAGCACAUUCCCAACUAGGCGCAUCUGGGGUCAGCCUUCCUCAGUCCGGGUGGUUUCUUCCGACCGAGCGUCAGCAUUCGACAAAUAACUGAGCAGCUGCUGGGGCCUGGAACACCGCGGGGACAGGUCAGAGCUGACCCUGAGCGACUCUACUGCCUCUCCCCGCCACGCCCACCUGCCCCCUGCGGGGUAGGACCCCGCAACCACCACUCCAGAGUCCUCUGCUAUGGGAGAGGAAGCCAGAGGAAGGGGACGCCAUCUGGGGGAUGCUUGGGCCGUGGUGGUUGCAGAAGCAGCAGCAGCAGUGACGGCCACCGCCGCCAACCAGGGGCUUCUGCCUGGCCAGCGCAGCCACCUGGGCUCCGGGCAGCAGCGUUUUCCACGUGGCUCCUCCAAUCCUCACGAGACAGCAGCUCCCUGCAUUGCUAAUGGCCCUGAGGAUAAUGACCAUACUGGGUCCUGGGAGACCUCCUGAACUGCAGCGGCAGGGAACCCCGACACCCAGUGAGUCUGAGAGCCUCACAGCUGCCCGCCUGGCUGACUCCCAUCAGGUCUGAAGCACCCUCCCGACAGUCAUGGUGGCUGUUUUUGUCUUUCCCAGGGGAAAUGAAUGGCACUGGCAACCUGGGCCUCGUGCCUGUUUUCCUGAAGCCAUGUGUACUUGGCUUCUGGACCUUGGCGCACCUGACCCCAGAAGGCGGUGCACUUACUGUAAGGCUGAUGGGCCUUAGAGAACACCUCCCCAGCGCCUACGCGCAAUCAGGACCGCGGACGCCUCAUGUCUGCCUGGGAGGCCUCCAAAGGGCCAAACACUCCCGGACUCGGCCCUGCAGGAGUCAUUUGCUGUAGACCAUCCCCCAGUGCCACAUACCACUGGAGAAAGCUGAGUCCAGAGGAGCUCAAACUUGAAAACACAAUCUCUCUGGAGGGCCAAGGCCUGGCAGGGCAGCCUGAAUGGAAUCCAACGUUACCUGUGACUAAGAGCCAACCGGGAGUGAGACAAGGGUCCUCUGGUCUCCCUGGAUGACAGGAGAUGCAUGCCUCAUCGUGUGAUGUCAAGAACCACUGCUGGGCCUACCCUAAGCAGGGAGCAGGAAGCGGCACUGUCAUGGCACUGUCAUGCUUGUUGCUGGAGCCAGCAAAGGAUGAGGAUAUGCCUCAGCUUCUGCUCUGCUCCACUCAGUGCUGGCCUCAUCGCCCCACCCAGGGGGCAGAACUCUCCCCAGGAGCCCACGGUGCUGGGCAGAGGCAGAGGCCACUUGGGCGGUCAGCCCAGAGCUGGGUGGGCCCGGCCAGUGGGACUUUGCGGCCUCCCCACCCUCCGGAUCUCCUGAGCAGGCGUAACCCAACCCGGGCAGCUCCUUCGGCUCCACCAUCCAGAGACAAGCUGACUUCCGAUAAUGACUUUAUUUUAACAUAUUUAAUUACAGACAUAAAAUAGCUGGGGAGGGGGGUGAGCCCCAGCCUAGCCCCACCAUGGGGCUAUAGGAGGGGAGGCGCAGGCGGGGCCCCCCUGCUGACCCUCUCUCUGGGGGUCUUCCUAUGGCGGGGCCCUAUUGCUUGAGUGGGGGAGGAGCCAUGCAAAUGAGGGGGGCAGGGCAGCCACUCGGCCCCACCCCACCCCGAGGACGGCCUCCCCACCGAAUGCCCGGGCUGUGCCCCCAGCCCCAGCUGCUCCACCUCCUUCCUCUCUGUCCAGGGAGCAGACCCUCUGGCCAGCCCCUGACUGCCCCUACCCCCUCUGCAAACCUAAAGGGGAAUAAAUACAAACUUUACAAAGUAAAAGGGGGUCCAACAUUGCCCUGGGGCGGGGCCUGCUCUGCCCCUGGCCCGGGGCCUGGGUCCGGUGGGAGUGGAGGGGCCCUGGGAUGCAGGCCGCCCCGCCCAUCACCUCACAUCAUUCCUAGCUGCAGCAGCGUGUUGGCAUAGGCCAUGGGCUUGACGUUGGGAUGAGGCUGUGGGACGAGGGCAGGUGGGAUGGAGAGAAGUCAGAACAGAGCCCCUGAGCACCCACCAGCAGAACCUACCCCUGCCCCUUACCAGGGUCUCAGCCUCCUUGUCCCCAGGCCGGGAUGGGAGGGGCAGGGGCCCUGAGGGGUGACUCACCACUGCUGUGAACUGGUGGAACUGAGGCCGUAGGUCGGAGCCCUGGAGGUGGAUGUAGGAGGCUUUGUUCCCCAUCUGGUCGCUGCAGGGACAGGAGCAGAGUGGACAGUGUGGUCAGGGCUGGGUGAGGCUGGUGGGUUAAGAGAAGGAAGGGCUGGGCAAGAAGGGACAGAGGGAGAGGGAGGGACAGAGCCACAACAGACACAGAUGGACAGAGAGACAGAGAUGGGAAAGACGAAUCCAGGGGAAAGAAUGGGAGGGGCAGGAGGAUGGGGAUGGGGAAAAGAGGGUGGGAGUGAGGGAAGCAGGAGCAGGAAGGGGCAGGGCAUAGCUCAUGGAGGUGGAUGCUCGCCAGACCCCACUAGGAAUCUGAUCACGCUUCUAGCUUUGCCCACCCAGAGAUGCAGGGAACAGAGGAACAUGUCACACGGCACCACGGGGAUGCAGUCAGCCUAGUCCAGGACACAGGUGACUCGUACAGCAGGCAGCAACCUAUUCUUCAAUAAAUAAAUGAUGCGGGUGGGGAGAGACAGGGAACUCACAGGCAAAGAGACUGAAAAUGUGGUCCUUGUUUAGGUCCUGUCUGGAAGAAGUCAACUGGAAAAGACACUUAGGAGAGACCAGGAGAAAGAACUUGGCAGGAUUCGGGUGGGGGCAAGGGAUCAGCACUCGUGUGUGUGUGAGUGUGUGUUUUGAGAUGGAGUCUUACUCUUGCCCAGGCUGGAGUGCAGUGGCGCAAUCUCAGCUCACUGCAACCUCUACCUCCCGGGUUUGAACAAUUCUCCUGACUCAGCCUCCUGAGUAGCUGGGAUUACGGGUGUGUGCCACCACGCCCUGCUAAUUUUUGUAUUUUUAGUAGAGACGGGGUUUCACCAUGUUGGCCAAGCUGGUCUCAAACUCCUGACCUCAGGUGAUCCGCCCACCUCGGCCUCCCGAAGUGCUGGGAUUAUAGGCGUGAGCCACCACACCCAGCCAGCACUCAAAACUGUAAACACGAUAUUGUGGUUAAGAAAAAGAUCCCUUUCCUUCUGAAAAGUGCUGGGCAAUCAGUGGGAGAAAGGUGAAGUGCCAGGGGCUUGCUGUAACACAGGGCAGCUGGUCAGCGCCCACAGGCUGGCCCCACUGGUGCUGCAUGGGUGGGUGACACACACGGGGGUGUUCGUCAUGUUAUCUGCUCUUGCCUGUCUUUGAAAUGUUCCAUCAUAAAAAGGCAAAACAAAAACCAAGACAAAAACCCAUGGCUUGGUAGAGGCCCUGGGAGGGAAAGGCAAAGACAUACCAGUAGUUGGGGGCAGAGAAGACGGUGACACAGCGGCCUCCGUGAGCCACCUCGUAGCCCUCGGCCUUGACUUCGUGGCUGCGGAUGAUAUAGUCCAGGUUGUUCUCUUCCAAGAAGGCCUUGGUGACGUCAGGCCCAAACUGACAGCUCACGCCCCGCUUGCUGACCGAGCGCCCGUUCUGAGGGUGGGCAGAAGGGAGAGACAGGGGUUCAGGGUGACUGUCUGCCUCCACCUGCUGCCACAGCCCACACCCACCGGCCCUGCAUCCCACCCUAGACUCACCUGCGGCUGUGGAUCUGACCAGAGCAGGUCACACAUGGGCCCUGGUGGGGAGCGAGGGAAACAUUAGGGACCCGUCCACCUCCCCGGGGGUGGUCACUCACAGGCCACCUCCUGGCCUGGCCAGGUGCUGACCCCACAGCCCAGCCUGGGUGGGUGUUGGGCAGGGGACAUCCAGCAUGGACAUUCAGGACAGGCGAAUGAUUCUGAGCCACCCCCACCCUCUCUGCUGAUCUGCCCUCCAGACCCCAUUCAAUCCCCUGUGGCCCCGAAGCCAGAUAGAGCUUUCAAUGUCACUAUUCAGAUCAGGCCCCUCUCCCACUCAAAGCCUUUGGUGGCUCCGCACUGCCCUAGGAACAAAGUUCCUCACUGGGGCCUGUAAAGCGCCAUAGGAUUUGGGCCCAGUGAACCCCAUGUCCAAUGUCAGCCCUCAAAGCACAGCCCUGCCCACUCGCCAACUUCUCCCUGCCUUAGGACCCCUCCUCAAGCCUGGAAUAUGCUCGCCAGGCUCUGUGCACAGCAGGUGCCUCUGCUUCCCGCAGUGUCAGCUCAAACCUCGCCUCCCUGAGCACCCGGCACCAGCCCACCCAAUCCAUGUCCUCUGCAGCACUCACAGUGUGCAUGUGCGUGUGCACCUGUGGGUGAACUCUCUGAAGUGUGCCUGUCACUAAGACAGGAGCCCCAAGACCUCCUCUCCUUCCAGGGUUCCACAGCUGAACUCACAAAUAAGGACAGGUGUGCUCGGCGGUCACCGUGCCUUCACCCCGCACCAUGGUCACGACCGUGCUUGCCAUCACAGCCCCAUGAAGGAGGUGCACUGGCCCAAGUCGCAGCUGCGAAGUGGCAAAGCCAGGAUGGAACCCAAGUGUGGCCAGUGCCAGGUGCCAUUCAAAUGCGAUCCUGAGGCAGACGAAGACAAGCCAAGACCCAGAGAGACUGAGCUACCAGCUCAGGUCACACAGCAGAUUUUCCGGAUGGCCUGUGGACUGUCUACCUUAGUCAGUAUUAUCACAUCAAUGAUGAAUUUCUAAGGUAGGACAAUUCAACUGUGGUCACACAAGAGGACGUCUUUGUUUUUGGGAGAUCCAAGUUAUGAUGGCUGCAACUUACUCUCAAAUGGGUUAGUGGAAAAAAAAGAAAAAAGUAUACAUAUACAAAUGCAUAAAUAAGUAGACAGACACAUAAAGUUAACGCAUUAAAAUGUUCACAAGUGGUGAAUCUGUGUGAAGGGUGGACAGAUGUUAACUGUACUGUUCUUUCAGCUCUCUGUAGGUUUGACGAUUUCCAAAAUAAGCUGGGGAAAAAGGUGUUAAGAAAAUGCAGGCGGCAUCCACUUCUAGUCAGAAGGUAGAAAAGUUACAAAAGACUGUCUCGCCCUAAAGAUGAAAACAAGCCAAACAAGCAACAAAAUCAAAUGUAAAGCCGUCUGAGAGCUGGCAAUGCAAAGGGACCUAAAUUAAUCAAAAUGCAGACAGGACGAGCCCUUCCUUGGUGAAGGAGCCCACAGCUUUCAUCCUGGUGCGAGGCAGCAGGGUGGGAUGCCCUGCGUGAGGGGAAAUGAGUGGAAGUUCAUGACCGUGUGGGGAUUGGCGUGACAGAUGAGGACUCCAGGGAGCCCCAGCACAGCCCGCCUCUGCCCCCUGCCAACUCCCUCACACGGGCUUCAUGGAAGGUUGGGCGCGAGGGAGUGAGGUGCAGAGAAACCUCCUGAGGUACAGAAGUGGGGGCGAGACUGGAGAGCGGAGAGCACCCCAGUGGCCCCACAGUCUGGCGGCAGGGCUGAAUACCAGAGGCCUCCCACAGUUCCAAAAGCUGGCGACUUUAAAACAUAAAGACAUCCCUGGAAUUCUGCCAGGGCUAAGAUCCCAAGCUGUGCUGAAGGGAAAGUCCUAAUUCUACUCUGAACACAUUUAAAGCCGGUGGUAAAGAAACUCCAAUAAAAGCUGCCCCUAAACUACAGAUGAGGUUCACACAGCCCCUCCCUCUUGUGGCUCUACAGGAGAAAUGUGUGCCAUUUUCUUAUUUGUUUAUUUGUUUUAAGACAGGGUCUCACUCUGUCACCCAGGGUGGAGUGCAAUGGCUCGAUCACAGUUCACUGCAGCCUCAACCUCCCAGGCUCAGGUGAUCCUCCCCACUCAGCCUCCCAAGUAGCUAGGACUAUAGGUGCCAACCACCAUGCCUGGCUAAUUUUUGUAUUUUUUUUUGUAGAGGUGGGGUUUCUCCAAGUUGCCCAGGCUGGUCUUGAACUACUGGGCUCAAGCGAUCUGCCUACCUUGGCCUCCCAAAGUGCUAGGAUUACAGGCCUGAGCCACGGUGCCCAGCCUAAGUGUGCCAUUUUCUGAGGAAAAACUUUAUUUACCUCAGUCUCUAAUGUUCUUUUAUACAAAAUAGCUGGCAUACAAUAAAACUGUAAAACACAUGAAGAACUGGUAACAGAGCAGACUCAGAGAUGAACCAGAUGAUGGAACUAUCAGACAGAGACUUUAAGAUAACCAUGGUAAAUGUGUGAAAGGACUUCGUGGAAAAGGUGGACAACAUGCAUGAACAUAUGAGACACAGAGAUGAAAAGUCUAUUAAAAAAAACACAACUAAAUGAAAAUGCUACCAAUAAAAAAUACAAUGUAAGAAAUAAAUAAUUCAUUUGUUGGGCUUAACGGCAGUUACAAAGAAUCAGUGAACAUAAGGACAACUGAAAUUAUCUGAACUGAAAUACAUAGAGGAAAAAUCGUGAAAAGAAUUAAAAAAAUUCAGGUCAUUAAGAUCUAAGGAAUAGUAUCAAAUAGUAUCAAAGAGCAUGUUGUUAGCUUUCCAGACGGAGAGGAGAGCAGAAAUGGGAAGAAAUAUAAGAAAUAAUGGCUAAGAACUUUCCAAAACCAAUGAAAGAUAUUAACCCACAGACUCAAAAAAAGCACAUCAAAGCCCAUCAUAGUCAAACUACUAAAAACCAAAGAUAAAAUCUUAAAACCAGUGAAGAAAACAAGAGACUAUAUAGAACAAAGAUAUGAAUGAUUGCUGAGUUCUCACAGAAACAAUGGAGGUCAAAAGGCAAUGGGAAAAAAACACAUUUAAAGCACUGAAAGAAACAAUGUCAACCUAGAACUCUACAUCCAGCAAAGACACCCCUAAAAAUGAAGACAAAAUAAAAACAUUUUCAGGCAGACCAAAGCUGAGAGAAUUAGUCUACAGCAGACGUGCACUGUAAGAAAUGCUAAAAGUACUCAGGCAGAAGGGGCAUGAUACCAGAUAGAAACUCACAUAUGGAAGAAGAAACAAGGAGUAAGAGAAAGGGUAAAUAUAAAAGACAUUUUCCAUGUAUUCAUACGUGUAUUUCUUUAGAAGACUAGUGUCUAUUUAAGGAAAUGACAACAAUGUAUUUAUAGGCAGAUGCAUAAGCAUGACAAGAGCACAAAGGCUGGGAGAAAAUAAAAGCAAUCACAAUAUUGUAAGAUUCUUUUUUUUUUUUCGAGAUGGAGUCUCACUCUGUUGCCCAGGCUGGAGUGCAGUGGCACGACCUUGGCUCACUGCAACCUCCACCUCCUGGGUUCAAGUGAUUCUUCUGCCUCAGCCUCUUGAGCAGCUGGGAUUAAAAGUGUGUGCCACCACGCCUGGCUAAUUUUUGUAUUUUUAGUAGAGACAGAGUUGUAGAGAUGGGGUUUUUGCCAUGUUGACCAGGCUAGUCUGGAACUCCUGACCCCAAGUGAUUCACCUGCCUCGGCCUCUGAAACUGCUGGGAUUACAGGCAUGAGCCACUGCCCCAGGCCAUAAGAUUCGUAUAUUGUCCAUUAAGUAUCAUAUUAUUAUUUGAAAGUAGAAUAGGACAAGUUAAAGUUACACAUUGUAAUCUUUGGAGCAGCUUUUUUCAUCCAGGGUUCCGGGAAAUGAUUAAGCCCCACAAAAAAUAUUUUCAGUGAUAUCUGCUCAGUUCUCCCAAGAAGAGCACACAGAUUCACAGGAGAGGAGUUAAUUCACUGCAGAUAUAAUGGAUGCCUAAGGGAGUUAGGGCUUAAUUCUUUCUAUAGAGCCUCAGCUGAGAAGGGCUGCUCUAGAGCAACCAUGUAACACUCCACCCCUCGCCACACACAUUCAAAAGUAUAACAAAAAAUUCAAUAAAACAGAUGAAAUGCUAAAAGAUUCCUGAUUCACACAAAGAAAGUCAAAGAAGGAGAAACAAGGGGAAAAAAAAACAAAUGGGACAUAUAGAAAAGAGAUAUCUAGACAGUAGACUGAAAUGCAAUCAUAUGAUUGCUGAUAGUUAAACAUAAAUGAACUAAACACUCCAAUUAAAAGGUAAAGAUUGGCUGGGAAUGGUGGCUGACACCUGUAAUUCCAGCACUUUAGGAGGCUGAGGUGGGUGGAUUAUCUGAGGUCAGGAGUUUGAGACCAACUUGACCAACAUGGUGAAACCCUGUCUCUAUUAAAAAUACAAAAAUUAGGCCAGGCAUGGUGGCUCAUGCCUGUAAUUCCAGCACUUUGGGAGGCUGAGGCAGGUGGAUUACGAGGUCAAGAGAUCGAGACCAUCCUGGCCAACAUGGUACAAUCCCAUCUCUACUAAAAAUACAGAAGUUAGCCGGGCAUGGUGGCGCACACCUGUAGUCCCAGCUACUCGGGAGGCUGAGGCAGGAGAAUCACUUGAACCUGGGACACAGAGGUUGCAGUGAGCUGAGAUUGCGCCACUGCACUCUACCCUGGUGACAGAAUGAGACUCCGUCUCAAAAAACAAAACAAAAAUUAGUUGGGUAUAGUGGCGUGUGCCUGUAAUCCUAGCUACUCUGGAGGCUGAGGCAGGAGAAUUGCUUGAAUCCAGGAGGCAGAAGUUGCAGUGAGCCAAGAUCACACCAUUGCACUCCAACCUGGGCAACAAGAGCGAAAUUCCACCUCAAAAAAAAAAAGGUAAAGAUUGUCCAACUGGAUAAAAAGGCAAGACCCAAGUAUAUGCUGUUUAUAAGAAAAACAUUUUAAAUAUAAAGAUACCAAUGUGUUAAAUACAAAAUGGUAGAAAAGUUAUAGCAUGCAAAUAUUAACUGUAAAAAUCUGGUUUAACUAUUUUAAUAGAAAACAGGGAUUUCAAGCCAAAAAGUACUGAAGUCACUUCAUUAUAAUGAGUCAAUUCAUCAAGAAAGCAUAACAAUUCUAAAUGUGUGCCUAAUAAAAAUUUCCAAAUACAGGAAGCAAAAAACUGAGAAUUAUAGGGAGAAAUAGGCAAAUCUACAAGUAUAGUCGGAGCUUUUAACAGCCCCCCUCAAUAAAUGAUUGAGCAAUUAGAAAAAAAUAGGCUAUAAAAGAUUUUUAACAGCAGUCUCAACCAUCUUGAACUAAUUGACAUUUAUAGAGCCCUAUGACUAACGACUGCAAAAUACACACUAUUUUCCAGUACAUACUGCAUGUUUGCCAAGACAGAUCUAAAAAUAGCCCCAAUGGAAUCAUCCAGAGUGUGUUGUCUGACCAAAUUAGAAAUCAGUAACAGUAACAUCUAGAAGUCCCCAAAUAUUUGGGAGUUAAACAAUACCCUUCUCAAUAACCUAUGGAUAAAAUCAGAAACCAUAAAGAAAAUUAGAAAACAAUUCUAACUCAAUGAUAAUGAAAAUACGACAUAUUAAAAUUCAUGGGACGCAGCUAACUUACUGCCUGGAAGGAAAUUUAGUUUUAAAUGCUUUGUGUAGAAGAAAAGAUGUAAAAUUAAGAGCAUUAAUGUCCAUCUUCAGAAGCCAGAAGAAAGCAAAUUAAACCUCAAGCAUGCAUAGAGAAUAAUGAAUGAAAAAUCAAUGAAACAAAAGACAAUCAAUAGAGAAAUUCAACAUAAACAAUGAAAACAUGUUCACAAAAAGACUUGUCCAAGAAGUUCAUAGCAGCUUAUACUUAUAAAAGCUACAAAGUAGAAAUAACCCAAAUGUCUCUCAAAAGAAGACUGCAUAAACAAGUCAUGGGCUGUUCAGACAAUGGAGGACUUGAGCUACCGAUAUACACAACAUCCAUGUAUGAAUCCCACACACAUUGUGCCACAUGAAAGAAGAGACACUAAACGCUGUAAGCCCAUACGACAUUGACAUGAAAUUCAAAACCAGGCAGAAUUAAUUUACAGUGGUGAAAAAUCAGAUCAGUGGUUGCCGCUGGGAUGGGAGUGAGGGCUGACUAGAAAGGGGUCAAAGGGAGCUUUCUGGUUGAUGGAAAUGUUCUGUAACUUGUUUGGGCAGUGGGCACAUAAAACUCUAAAAACUCAUCUAACAGGA